UCUUUCUGUCCUGUAGAACGAUCUCGGUCACCUGUAACUCAAGAACACAGGAGAAACCUCAACUAUUUCAGUUUGUUCCAAAUUAAAAGCAGGUCAAGGCAGCACACCAACUUCUCAAGACUAUUCCACAUAGCUAUGGGAGCAGGAGGGUUGAUGGAGUUCCUGUUUUCAGCAAACAAAAUUCAGAUAUUGCAAUAGCUACCAAAGACGGGAUUAAGUGCAAUAUGAAUGGCUUAUUGGAUCACAAUAUAAAUCAAUAGAGUUGGCUAAGUCUGAUUGGGUUGCAACAAGGAAAUCUCCACCUUGGGCCAUUGAUUAUUGGGGCUUUGCAAUAUGAAUGGCUUAUUGGAUCACAAUAUAAUCCAAUAGAGUUGGCUAAAUCUGAUUGGGUUGCAAUAAGAAAACCUCCACCUUGUGCCAUUGAUUCUUGGGGCUUAGGUAAGUCUAUUUUGCUCCAUUUUUACAUGGUUGCUUAAUUAUAUCGUGCAUAAUUUUUUUGUUGGGCAUGCCUAUUGUAAUCUUUUCAAGUAGUUGGAACUCUGCCUUUCAU